rnacentral:lncRNA from 1 species
UCGUAUGUCAUGUGCACUGCCUUGUACAUGAUGGUGCUGUACGAUCGAGCCUGUGUAGGCCCCACCACGAAAACUUCGGACGAAAUCUCUAUCAUAUGUUUGUUCCGGCUUAUUCUGCAAGCCAGUCCUUUGUUUUUGUUUUGAGUUGUGGUAUUCGAGUUGCUUCAAUGUCAAGUGUUGAUUCCAUACCUUUCUGAAAUGGUGUUCUCAUACUCCGAUGUGAAUACCAAUCCUUCUCGACAAUCGAGAUUGUCAUGUCAAUCCUUUUCAACCGGCGUGUUUCUCUUCAAGUGGAUCCGAUCACUUCAACAACAGCAAGACCAAUUAUCAUUUCUUCUCAACGGUGUUUGUUUCAUCCGUCUCCAAGUUGCCUUUGUUUUUUCCUGCCCACCCACCCUUUUUCCUCAAGGACUAAGAUUUCUUUACCAAGUAUCCUUUUAUUUUUGUGAAGUUUCUCCAUUCUUUUCCGUCAAUGUUCUUACCCGGUGGUUCUCAAGAAGAUGUUCUACUAGUUCGUCAUUCCUCAUUCCUUUCUCUUCUCCGGUGGAUUCAAGUCAAGUUUUGUUGAUCAUACCUUUUUCCUCAUUUCAAUGUCUUCUCAUAUCGGUACACCUCAUUAUCAUUCUACUUCUCGCUAUUUGUUAUUCCGGAGUGCUCAAGAUAUCUUGAAGAUUCAUGUUUCCACUCUGCAUUCGUUCAAGCUCUUUCGAGAUUGGUAUCUCACUCAAGUCAUUUAAUUCAACCGGUGCAACAUCUCUUUUAAAUCUUUUCAACGGUGUUCUUUUGAGUGGGCCCUAACCCACAGGUCUUUUCCCAGGAUCUUACCUGACUCUUCUAUUUUCCCAGAGCUAUCCUAAAUUCUUCUCCAAGUUUGACGUAAGAAUGAGUUAUCAUCAGUCAAAUGCUUUUCUCCAAGAUCUUUCAAAUUCUUUUCAUAGUUGGCUCAACCUCUUCGCUUUUGAUUCUUCCGGAGUGCCUCAAUAAUUCUUGGUGGUGUUUCUCGUUGUCAUUCUCAUCAUUUGAAGACCGAAGAAGAGUUUCUCUUUAAUCUUGCUCUAUUCUCUUCAAGAUUCAUGGUGCUAGCUUGUUGCCAUCCGCUCAUAAUUGUUUUCGAUUGUGAGAAUCUUUUUCACCCAUCAGGAGAUAUUCAAGAGUCUUCUCAGUUUGUCAUCCGGAGUCCAUCAAUUCAGGUUUAUUCAUUCUCAGCUGUCAGUUAUCAUUCUCCUAUCUUGCCGGUGCAUCAAUCGAAUAUCCUCUAAUCAGUUCUUGAUCUCUUUGUUCUCAUGUAUCUAGUUUGUCUCAAGCACCUUCAUUCAUUUGCUAAUUCUUACCGGUGAUGCACCCCUACUUCGAUCAUUUUCAAUUCUUACGGUGGUUCUUUCAAGAUCUCUCUUCCUUGUUCAUCAUAUCAAUUCAUUUGUUGUUCCAAUCCUACCGGUGGUUCGUUGAAGACCUUCUCAAGUUUUGAUAUAUCUCUUUUAAUCCUUUCUACGAGAAUAAGUAGUAUGCCAAAUCCGUUGAUUGUCAUCAAUUUAACUGGUGAAGGAUAAGCAUAACAUAAUUCUUAUUCUUGUUCAUCCAAGUGAUAAAUUCUUUAUUCCGGAGGCCCUUAAAAUUCUCGGUUUCAUUUGUUUCAUCUUCUCUUUUUCCCGGAGUUCCAAGCUCUAAUUAUCACGGAGAUCCAUCUAAAUCAUUGCAAGGUUUCACCUUGUGUUUUCAACUUCUUUUUCUUUUCAUCAUCCUUUUAUUACCGGAGUUCUUCAUGGAGGCUCUACAUGAUGGUUCGUCAAGGAUUCUUUUCAUUCUUCAAUUGUUCUUCAAGAUUUCUCUUGAAGUUAUGAUCCGCCAAGCUAUACUCUAAAAUAAACAUGGUGCUCAACACAUGUUUUUUUGAGGAUCUCAAAUAUUCUUCUUCUUGCAUUUCAAAGUGCAAUUCGUUCUACCUUAGCUUUUGAGGUGGUGUUAUAUCAUUCUUGGCAAUUUCCAUUCAGGUUUCGCGAUUCACAUGUUGUCAAGAAUGAGAUAUUUUAAAUCCAUCAAUCUCGUCAUUGGAGUUAUCUUGGGUUAUAUUUCACCUAAAGCCUUCCCUAAGGAUUGUUGCUAUAAUGGUGCUCAUAUAUGAUCCAAGUUCUUCAUCUACCCUCCCGGUGAAAUAAGCUUCUCGUCCCCUUUGUUCAUGCCAAUCCAAUUCUUCUUCCCGUGAGUGGCAGGUUGUCACCUCAUAAUUUUUGAGAUGUAUUCCAUAAGACCAUAUCAAGAUUAUUCUUUUCGUUGUUGGUUUUCCAACAACUCCGUUCUAGCAUUUGUUGUAAGCGUGCUCCCUCGAGAUCUUGUUUCCCUUCGUUCAUCCCAUUCCAUUCUUACUUUUGUUCCGGAGGCUUUGUGAUGUUGCUCUCUUCAACCCAUCUUUCCGUUUUGUCAGGAUCGUGUUCUUUUCUUGGUUUAUCCAUUUAACCGGAGUGUUGUGUCCCUUUUCCUCAAGUUCUUUUCGCCUUAUCAAGUCUUGCAUCUUUUCUCAACCGGAGUGCUGUUCGAAUUUGGUCUUCCUUGAUCCCCUUCCUUAACCGGCGUGUUUUCAAUAUAUAUCUUCCCUUCAACCUCAAGGUUUUCGCAAUGUUCUUUGUCCCUCUUUUCUAACGGAGUGUUUUCGACCUUGUUCACCUUCGUUGUAUUCUUUUCUUGAAUUUGUGUAACCUUUUCAAGGUUCUUUGGUUUCACUCGUUUGUCAAAGAAGCAACUUAGUCUUACCUCUUCUCUUUCUCUUCCGUUGUUCCUCCAGUGCCAUUCUAGAUCUCGGGACGAGAUCCUCUCGUAGUAGUGGAGUGUUGUGACGCCCCAAGACCGGAGCUUCAGAUGCCUUCUAGGGUUUCUGGGUUUCGUUGUGUGAUUUGUUUUGUCUGUUGCUUUCAUCUUUGCAUCAUGUGCAUUGCAUCAUGUCAUCAUGCAACCCGUUUUAAAACUCAACUAAAUAAAUUGCAUGGAUCUUCGGUCCAUUUAAAUCGAGGGAAUUCACAUGGUGAUUCUCUUUAAAACAUAUCCUCCCAAUAGUAGGGAGAUAUAUUAAAUAUUUCAUUAAUGUGGAAUUACCUUGACACACUUGCAAAAUAAUUCCCCAUGCCUUUGUCCCAUGCAUCAUCUCCUUCUCCUUUCCUUCUAUUUCCUUUUUUUGCAAGUGCUAUUUUCCCCUUCUCUAUUAAUGUUAAUUAUUUUCCUAUAAAUUCUCGACCAUGCCUUCAACCUCUCUACCAAAUUUCAUCUCUUUUGACGUUGUUUUGGUUGGGUUCAAAAUUGCAUCAAGUUUGAAGUUAAUUUAAACUUGGUUUAAUUUUCUACCCUAAAAAAAGCCCUAAGCAAUUUAUUCAAAUAUUACUUAAAUCCUGGACCCCAUAGCUUUUUACCUCCUUGUCAGAAACCUCCCUUAGAUACCCGCUCUUUCCUUUUUAUUUUGCUAUCUGGGGUUUUUUUAAAAGAGAAGAGGGAAGGAGUGAGGAGCCCAGCCAGGCCUUUUCCCUGUAGCUAGGCCGGCCCAUUAGGCCCAAGGCCAAGGCCCAGCCAGCCGCACUCUGUCUUAACCCUAGCCCGAUUCCCCGAUCCAAUCUCUCCCUCUCGUUCCUCCCGCAGCGCCGCCAACUGCCCUUGUCCUCUCGCUCGACCCCUCUCUCUUUUCCCUGCUCGCGCCGCCAGGGACGGGCGCAGUCGGCGCCUCCCGAUCCGACGUCCCGCAUCCUCCUCCGCCUUCGAUCCGGUGCCGCCGGAGGCCACCAGCGCCGCCCAGGGGCCGCACCUCCUUCCUUAGCGCGCCCCCUUCCUUCCCCGGCCUCCUCCUCACGCUAGUUGCCAGGGACGCGCCUCCCUGCUACCGAAGACGCCACCAAGCUACGCCCCGCGGUCCUGUCCUCCGACCGCGCCAAGCGCCGCCACCGGCCUGCUACCUCGCCUCCCAACCUGAGCUGGCCCGGAUCCAGCCAUCUUCGAGACCUUGGGUCGCUGGCCAUGGACGCCUCUGCUCCAUCGCCGGACGGCUGCUUCUCCGCGCGCCUCUGUUCUUCGUCGUGACAGUCAUCGUGAGCCCGCGUUGACUUCCCCUGCUCCACCACCAUCAGCGCCCGGCAGCACCUCCUCUGUCCGUGAGUCGUGUUGUUGCUGCUCGUUUUGCCGCUGCCAUGGCCUCUCACUUGUAGCCCCUCGCCAAGCAUGCUACGUGAUGCUGCCCCUUUUGUCGUUGCCAAGGCCAUUGAAUCCAGGGACACAAGACCGUCUCGGUGGAUUCCUUUCGACAAGUACCAUGACGACCGUCGAGACCGCCAAGUUCCACUAUCGAUGAACAUUUUGGAAUCGCCAAGUCAGACUACAACGCGAAGACCAUGUACAACUACUGACACCCAUGGAUUUCACCAAGUACCUAUACCGACGACCGAGACCCUGUUUUCGACAAGUUCGCGAGUACGACCACUUCCCACGACGACCUUGUACUACUACCGUUGACGAAGAAAUGUGCACCGCAAGCAUCAAGUUCAACUACCGUCGACCGCGAAGGGUUUGGAGUAAUCAAGUACCUCUCCGAAAUGAACGUGAAUGACUACCGUCGCAAGAACGGGACCGGAAAGUCCGAAGACCCCAAGUACCUCGACACCGAUGACAUGAACGUCUACGGAAACUCGUGCAACGAUAAACAUGUACCACUACCGUCGCCGAGAUCGCGAGAACCUCUACCCUCGACCCUAGAGCGUGCGAGAACGACUACUUCGACUACCAUCGCGUGAACCACUACUUCCCUCGACGUCCGAGAAUGUCUACUUCCACUACUUCCUCUACACCGACUCGAACCCCUCCAAAAAUGCACGCUUCGAAGGUAUAACCCCAAGACCACCGUCGACCCGUGGGAACCCGGUUACCGGGAUCACUCCACCAUCUUUUGCACGCUCCCGCCACACUUUCUUUUGCACCGACGUUCUCAAUGAGUUGUCAGAACCAGAACGUUGCAGUGGCACCGUUUCGUUAUCGUCGCCGUGGCACCCCUUUCUUUCUA